CAGAAAAUAGUUUAUAAAAAAUAUAGGUUUUGGAAAUCUAUGAAGCUGAAAGGUUUUUCUGA
rnacentral:tRNA from 1 species